rnacentral:rRNA from 1 species
UACGAACGCUGGCGGCGUGCUUAACACAUGCAAGUCGAACGAAGUGGCGCACGGGUGAGUAACGCGUAAUCAACCUGCCCUUCAGGGGGGGACAACAGUUGAAAACGACUGCUAAUACCGCAUACUGAAGGAGGGGAUUGCGUCUGAUGAGCUAGUGGGCGGGGUAACGGCCCACCAAGGAGAUGAUCAGUAGCCGGUCUGAGAGGAAGAACGGCCACAUUGCGACUGGGACACGGGCCCGACGCCUACGGGAGGCAGAAGGUGGGAAUCGUCCGCAAUGGACGAAAGUCUGACGGAGCAACGCCGCGGGAGUGAUGACGGCCUUCGGGUUGGAAAGCUCUGUUAAUCGGGACGCGGUACCGGAAUAGAAAGCCACGGCUAACUACGUGCCAGCCGCCGCGGUAAUUC